GGUUGCCCGAUGUCCUCACUGACACUCUUCCAAGCGAGGUCAUUUUUAUUCCUGUCUCUAUAGAAAUAAGAACUUGUGUCGUAUAGCUCCGGGCAGGGUCCGAAAUUAACUUUUUGGCUCACCUGCCAAGGGGACUGGUAGAUGAAAAAAUCCACCAGCCAAACACAUUUUUUACCGACCAGAAUAAUAAACAGCCUUUUUUUGUCACAUGUACAUUAAUGUAAUUUGCUGUAUUCAUGGCAGGGCUCGCAAAAUUUCAAAAUCCCUGGUAGCCCUUCGGGCAGGCACUCUUCAGUUUUUGGUAGCCCGAAAUGAAUGCAAGUAGCCCGAAUAAAAAAUACAGUACUUUUAAUGUAGAAUAUUAAGAAAAAAACAUAUAUCAAAACACAAAUAACACAUAUCAAAUUUCAGUACAUAUCAAUCAUCAGUACAAAUAUUAACUGAAGUCACAGAUAAGAAAAUGCCACUUGACUUUGUGGGCAUAGCACAGGCUUAUUCAUUUAGUUUUACCACAGGCCAAAUUUUGCCAAUACAAAGCCAAUAGGGCCUCUAACCACAAUGUUUAAUCUGCUUUUCUUGUUGUUGUUUUGAUGCUGUUGUUUUUUUAACAAACAAAAAGACUGGAUUUCCAUGUAAACCAAGUUUUCCUGCUCAUCCCCACACCAGAUAUACUCACCAUUUAAAAGUGGUUUAGUGGGUCACAAAACUCACAGUUUGGAUCAUCCAGUUACAGAUUGGAUCAUAUUUUCGAUCAGAAAAACAGGGGCUACUGUCGCUUUAAGAGUCACUCUCUUCACUGCCCGUACAAUCUAUACUUUAAAGCUUGCUGCGAGAGAUUUAAUUUUCUUACGUGAGGAUAAUGACUGACAGGACGAAGUUGGAGGAUUGGCCCAACAAAUCCAUGACAAAUCAUGACGGAUUGCUUCCUGUACUGCGUCUUUUCGCGCAAUCGCGAAAGUGAAAGUAAAACUCGAGCGCAGGCUCAAACGUAACUUAAAUACCCAAUGCCUGAAUUUCAUACACCAUUAUUACCCAUCCAAAUCUGUGAAAGAAUGCAUAAGCAUUUAAAUAUAUUUUUUCCUCCCUAUAAGUCAAGAUAGCCCGACGGGCAGGGCGGGGAUGCAUUUUGAUAGCUAAUAUGCAGCAGAUAGCUGUAGACCGCAAGUUACCUGCAGUACUAGCUAGCAACAGACCGUCUCUAGUGCGAGACUUGGAGCGUAGAGACGUUCUGUGGCUAGCUCACCUCGUUCCCAGAUUAGUUACUGUCAAACACAUUUUGGUAUGAAAAUCACCCGCCAGUGUGGCGGGUAGCCUUUUGAAUUUAGUCGCCAAAUGGAAAAUCUACCCGCAUUUGGCGCUUGGCUGGUGUUAAUUUCGGACCCUGGCUCCGGGUGACUGCUCACGGACAAUAUCAAGUGUUCCUUCAGGUUGAAUGAGUGACUCCGGGCGGGGCUGCCUCCACAGCAGCAAGCAGGCUCCUGAUUGGUUAACGCAGCGCAACUGGCUUUUUAAGGGGAUGAGAGCUGAGACUCUCAUUGGUUUAUUGCACGUUACGCCCAAAAUACUCCCAUUACUCAUUAAAAAAAGAAACCAACCCUUUUCGACCAUGCGCUUGGCGCACAAACCAUUUUUCCCGUCGUUAAAGGUGGAAAAGAGGAUGUUUGUUUAAUACAUUUUUGCAAUAUUACCUGAAACUGUCUUUACUAAAUGAUAAAAGACUAUUUAUUAGGCGCACUGAAAGUAAUAAAAUUAAUAUAUGUCAUCUGUGCAUAAGGUAGGGCCUUAUAAACAUCAGCCAAUCGUUGAUGCAAUCAUCGCAAUCGUCAUUGGCCCUCUGGCUUGUCAAUCACUGCCAUUACGUUUCUUGUGAGAGACGUGCGCGCUCCAGUAACGUUACACGAGUGACGCAUGCGCAUAGCGCAUGAAACUCCGUCUUAAGUUUCGGUUUGUUUUCAUUUUCGCUCCUGCUUUCCUCCUCGAAUCUGCACCAUGGAAGAAAAGAAACCCGAAGGAGGACGCAAAAGAAAGAGUUUUUAAGUCGCUGAGAAGAGGAGAAAAUUGUCAGAAGAAUGUUAUCUAACCAGAGUCGUUAUUGGAGAAACAUUUCAACACUGGAGAGCAAUGAAGGAACAGAGAGGUGUCAGACGCGCAGGUCGCAAAAAUUCUCUUCGACAGGUAACAGUGAUUAUUCUUUCUUUGUGGAAUAAUUAUUGUUGUACUGUUAUUCAGGUAUAUCGACGUUGUUCUUGUACUGUAGUUGUAAGUGACCAGUCUGCUACACGCUAGUUGAAAUGGGAGUAGCGUCGACUGAUCUAACUUUACGUCUUAUGUGUUUAUUAUCAUAUCUUUUCACAAAAUGAAUCCACUGACGCGACACAGCAUAUGCCAGUGGUAAACAAACACUCGUGUUCAAAUACUCGUGCACGAGUUAUGGAAGGCGUUUCCUAGAUAUGAGCUGUGAAGGAGGGAGGCUGUUCUUGCGCAUGCGCUUAUUUAAAAAACUCAGUAACGGUCUUUGGAUUCUCAGUCGGCGGAAAUAUCCUCUUUUGCGCCUUUAAAUUAGCAAAAGUGGAUUCUGACAUGCCCAUUUAGACGUUGCGCUGUGCGCUUUAGACAAUGCGCUUAGAUCGUUAAAAUAGGGCCCUUUGGGUCAUAAUUUUCUUUGGAAUAUGCAGACAUGUCGACCAAAUCUGCUUAAACUGCACGUCUAUCCCGUAAACAUUUACUCUGUUUUUUUUUAUUUUAGAUGCGGCGGUCUAUGUAAUGUGUAGGCAUCCUGUGAGGAGAGCCAUUCUGGAACCUCCUUAUCAUUUAGUCGAACAUCAUGAUCUUUUAAAACAGCCUGUUUUAAGCGAUUUUUACCACCUGAAGACCCUGGGUUAGAGAGUGUUUAAUAAACCUUGUUCAUGAGUUCUGCUGACAUAAUGUCGCUUCAUCAAGUAAUGCGUGAGAGUUAGGUAAAUACACUUUUAGUCUUUUUUACUUUCAUGCAGCAACGAUAAUACUGAAUAUAUAUGCCAUUACAGGUUUUUUAAAUACCAUAAAAAGUGUAUGUCACAGGCUGAUUUAGUAGUUUUCUUUUUUUUGCCUUGAAUCAUUUGAGACAUUAGGGCUUUAUUGUGUGCAGUGUGCUGUGUGAUGGUUAUUGUGUGCAUUAAAAUAUAGGCACUUUGAAUUGUAGUGGGUAUUUACUGUACAUUAAAUUUAUAGUGUUACUUUUUUAAAACUGCCCUAUUUAACUCUUAGAGAUUCAUUUAUGGACAAACCUGGCAACUUGUUUCCUGUUUUAUUAUUUUGCCCAUAUUUGGUCUGUGCUUCCUCCCCUGUUAAUUUGACCUAAUUUUGUUUAUUGGAACUCAUUGUUAAGCUCCACCUUUUUGCCCAUAUUUGGUCUGUGCUUCCUCCCCUGUUAAUUUGACCUAAUUUUCUUUAUUAGGACUUAUUAUUAUGCUCCACCUUUUUGCCCAUAUUUGGACUGUGCUUCCUGUCUUUGAUGAAUUGUUUUAUUGUCUCUGUCUUGCUGCUGAUGAUUACAAUUAGCAACCAAUUGCCAAACAGCUGGACAUGCUUAAGUGAGAGGGUAUAAAAAACUGUUUCUUUGGGAGAGGACGCUGGGUUUUUUUUUUUUUGAGGGUGACUUAGAUGUUUGCUGCCAUGGUGUAAUACACUCUCCUGCCUUGCAAAGGAAGUUUGGGUUCCCAGGACGUUUGCUGAACAACGGUGCACUGCUCUGGAUUUCCUCAACGCUCUCUAAUGUUGCCUGAAGGGCCGUAAAUAUAUUUUUGUUACUGCACUGUGAAUGUGUCCAUUUACUAUUUGUGGUGUUGGUGUUUAUGGUGGUCGCUUGUUUCCAGUCCCAGCAAUACCUAUCUGGUAGUUCCAGCGGGUGGCGUUGUUCUGAAGACUGUGGUUAUCCUCAAACCUCUCUCAACGCUCGCUAUGGUUGCCCGAAGCCUCUGCAAUACCUUUCCUGUGGUCCCAGUGGCGGCUUUGUCCUGAAGACAGUGGUUACCCUCUAACUUCCCUCAACGCUCGCUAAUGUCGCCUGAAGGGCUCCUCUGGAUUGUCCCGUUGGUGAUCUUGGCCAAGUGCUGCUGCGAGCCCGCCUUGGCUACCCGGAGUCUUCCUCAACGCCUGCAGUUUGCUGCUUAAAGUAUCGUCACUUUCUCCGGUGGGGUCUGACGACUGCCGUGACGUUCUGGACGUAUUUGCUCGAUUAUUUGGAAGGAAAGACAGCUGGGCGGACUUCCGAGGAGCCACCGAACCUUAACCCCGCCCCCAUUUGCUAUAAAGACUUUAUUUUAGUGGACUUUACCCUCCAUAAUAGUGUUUCCUAUUUAAUGCUUUCUAGCCUAUUAGUAAAGUUUUUUUUUGCAUUUA